GGGGUUGUGGCUCAGUGGAAGAGUACUUGCCUAGCACGCAUGAGGCCCUGAGUUUGUUUCUCAGCUCCA
rnacentral:tRNA from 1 species